rnacentral:rRNA from 1 species
GGAUCCAGACUUUGAUCAUGGCUCAGGACGAACGCUGGCGGCGUGCUUAACACAUGCAAGUCGAACGAGAAGAGAUGAGAAGCUUGCUUCUUAUCGAUUCGAGUGGCAAACGGGUGAGUAACGCGUAAGCAACCUGCCCUCUAGAUGGGGACAACAGCUGGAAACGGCUGCUAAUACCGAAUACGUUCUUUCUGUCGCAUGGCAGAAGGAAGAAAGGGAGGCUCUUCGGAGCUUUCGCUGGAGGAGGGGCUUGCGUCUGAUUAGCUAGUUGGAGGGGUAACGGCCCACCAAGGCGACGAUCAGUAGCCGGUCUGAGAGGAUGAACGGCCACAUUGGACUGAGACACGGCCCAGACUCCUACGGGAGGCAGCAGUGGGGAAUCUUCCGCAAUGGACGAAAGUCUGACGGAGCAACGCCGCGUGAACGAUGACGGCCUUCGGGUUGUAAAGUUCUGUUAUACGGGACGAAUGGUACGACGGUCAAUACCCGUCGUAAGUGACGGUACCGUAAGAGAAAGCCACGGCUAACUACGUGCCAGCAGCCGCGGUAAUACGUAGGUGGCAAGCGUUGUCCGGAAUUAUUGGGCGUAAAGGGCGCGCAGGCGGCGUCGUAAGUCGGUCUUAAAAGUGCGGGGCUUAACCCCGUGAGGGGACCGAAACUGCGAUGCUAGAGUAUCGGAGAGGAAAGCGGAAUUCCUAGUGUAGCGGUGAAAUGCGUAGAUAUUAGGAGGAACACCAGUGGCGAAAGCGGCUUUCUGGACGACAACUGACGCUGAGGCGCGAAAGCCAGGGGAGCAAACGGGAUUAGAUACCCCGGUAGUCCUGGCCGUAAACGAUGGAUACUAGGUGUAGGAGGUAUCGACCCCUUCUGUGCCGGAGUUAACGCAAUAAGUAUCCCGCCUGGGGAGUACGGCCGCAAGGCUGCAACUCAAAGGAAUUGACGG